UCCACGCCAAUCCUUUCUCAUGGUGUGGAACCAGACUAGAUUGUGCCGGUCUCUUCGUUAAGGUCGAAAUCUGUUGUAGAAGUCGUCUGAGAGAUAGCCAUGUCGGGGCGGUAAUUCUGAACUCUAGAAGUAGGAGAUGACACCCAUGAGGAAGAUGAUAACAGGAAUGAACGAACUCAUCAUCUCUAGCAGCAAAAUGAAAACCAAGAUGCAGAAGAAAACGAGCAGUGACUUUGGUGUGCUCUUCCACAUUAUGAUGCCAUCAACCACAUCGC